GACGAACGCUGGCGGCGUGCUUAACACAUGCAAGUCGAACGGAAAGGUCCUGCUUUUGCGGGGUGCUCGAGUGGCGAACGGGUGUGUAACACGUGAGUAACCUGCCCUUGACUUUGGGAUAACUUCAGGAAACUGGGGCUAAUACCGGAUAGGAGCUCCUGCUGCACGGGGGGGGUUGGAAAGUUUCGGUGGUUGGGGCUCGGCUCGCGGCUUAUCCGCUUGUUGGGGGGGUUGUGGCUUACCAAGGCUUUGACGGGUACGCGGCCUGAGAGGGUGAGCGGCCACAUUGGGACUGAGGUACGGCCCAGGCUCCUACGGGAGGCAGCAGUGGGGAAUAUUGCAGAAUGGGCGGAAGCCUGGUGCAGCAGCGCCGCGGGCCGGAAGACUGCCUUCGGGUUGUAAACCGCUUUCGCCUGUGACGAAGCGUGAGUGACGGUAAUGGGUAAAGAAGCACCGGCUAACUACGUG
rnacentral:rRNA from 1 species